CCUACGGGUGGCAGCAGUGGGGAAUAUUGCACAAUGGGCGAAACCCUGACGCAGCGACGCCGCGUGAGGGAUGAAGGAAUUCGUUAUGUAAAGCUCUAUCAGCAGGGAAGAAAAUGACGGUAGCUGAUUAAGAAGCACCGGCUAACUACGUGCCAGCAGCCGCGGUAAUACGGAGGGGGCAAGCGUUAUCCGGAUUUACUGGGGGUAAAGGGAGCGUAGACGGCAGUGCAAGUCAGGGGUGAAAGGCGGGGGCUCAACCUCCGGACUGCUCUGGAAACUGUACGGCUGGAGUGCGGGAGAGGUAAGUGGAAUUCCUAGUGUAGCGGUGAAAUGCGUAGAUAUUAGGAGGAACACCAGUGGCGAAGGCGGCUUACUGGACUGUAACUGACGUUGAGGCUCGAAAGCGUGGGGAGCAAACAGGAUUAGAUACCCUUGUAGUC
rnacentral:rRNA from 1 species